rnacentral:rRNA from 1 species
GACGUAGGGUGCGAGCGUUGUCCGGAUUUAUUGGGCGUAAAGAGCUCGUAGGCGGCUCGUCGCGUCGACCGUGAAAACCCGCAGCUUAACUGCGGGCUUGCGGUUGAUACGGGCGGGCUAGAGUUCGGUAGGGGAGACUGGAAUUCCUGGUGUAGCGGUGAAAUUCGUAGAUAUCGGGAGGAACACCAGUGGCGAAGGCGGCGAUCUGGGAAGAUACUGACGCUGAGGUGCGAAAGCGUGGGGAGCAAACAGG